UGGGGAAUAUUGGACAAUGGGCGCAAGCCUGAUCCAGCCAUGCCGCGUGAGUGACGAAGGUCUUCGGAUUGUAAAACUCUUUUGGCGGGGACGAUAAUGACGGUACCCGCAGAAUAAGCCCCGGCUAACUUCGUGCCAGCAGCCGCGGUAAUACGAAGGGGGCUAGCGUUGUUCGGAAUCACUGGGCGUAAAGCGCACGUAGGCGGAUGUGCCAGUCAGGGGUGAAAUCCCGGAGCUCAACUCCGGAACUGCCUCUGAUACUGCACGUCCUGAGUUCGAGAGAGGUGGGUGGAAUUCCUAGUGUAGAGGUGAAAUUCGUAGAUAUUAGGAAGAACACCGGUGGCGAAGGCGGCCCACUGGCUCGAUACUGACGCUGAGGUGCGAAAGCGUGGGGAGCAAACAGGAUUAGAUACCCGCGUAGUCCCUGAGCGGGCUGGCAAGGCGCAU
rnacentral:rRNA from 1 species